CCUACGGGAGGCAGCAGUGAGGAAUAUUGGUCAAUGGGGGCAACCCUGAACCAGCCACGCCGCGUGAGGGAAGACGGUUUUCGGAUUGUAAACCUCUGUCCUCUGUGAGGAUAAUGACGGUAGCAGAGUAGGAAGCUCCGGCUAACUACGUGCCAGCAGCCGCGGUAAUACGUAGGGCGCAAGCGUUGUCCGGAUUUACUGGGGGUAAAGGGUGCGUAGGCGGCUUUGCAAGUCAGAAGUGAAAUCCAUGGGCUUAACCCAUGAACUGCUUUUGAUACUGGAGAGCUUGAGUGGAGUAGAGGUAGGCGGAAUUCCCGGUGUAGCGGUGAAAUGCGUAGAGAUCGGGAGGAACACCAGUGGCGAAGGCGGCCUGCUGGGCUCUAACUGACGCUGAGGCACGAAAGCGUGGGUAGCAAACAGGAUUAGAUACCCCAGUAGUC
rnacentral:rRNA from 1 species